rnacentral:rRNA from 1 species
AGCGAACGCUGGCGGCAGGCCUAACACAUGCAAGUCGAACGAACCUUUCGGGGUUAGUGGCGGACGGGUGAGUAACACGUGGGAACGUGCCUUUAGGUUCGGAAUAACUCAGAGAAACUUGUGCUAAUACCGAAUGUGCCCUUCGGGGGAAAGAUUAAUCGCCUUUAGAGCGGCCCGCGUCUGAUUAGCUAGUUGGUUGAGGUAAUGGCUCACCAAGGCGACGAUCAGUAGCUGGUCUGAGAGGAUGAUCAGCCACAUUGGGACUGAGACACGGCCCAAACUCCUACGGGAGGCAGCAGUGGGGAAUCUUGCGCAAUGGGCGAAAGCCUGACGCAGCCAUGCCGCGUGAAUGAUGAAGGUCUUAGGAUUGUAAAAUUCUUUCACCGGGGACGAUAAUGACGGUACCCGGAGAAGAAGCCCCGGCUAACUUCGUG